CUCUAUUUGGUAUGCCCAUUAAAUCUAGUUGGGGAACAUAAGUACGUCAGUCUUGCAGAGAACGUAAACUUGCUUUUUGACAAUUCACACGCAAAUUAGCGAUAUGCAACCUCGUAUUAUUUACGUUCUCUGAUUUUCACAUUUUCCGAAGGUAGUUUUUUAAUACUGCGACCAAUAAAUUUAUUGACUAGAAAAAUGGCUCAAAAAAGCGUUAACCCGAUUAGCAUUUUAAAAAGUAUCUACCACAGUCUGUGUUGAAGAGUUUAGGAAUUUUCCUGAUUGGAGUUCGUAUGGCUAAGGAAUUUGCCGGAGUGGAAAUAAUGCCGGCGAUAGCUCAACAUUAAUGCUAGUUGUGUUGUUCUUGGUGUAAUCCUCGGGUGAGGAUGCCUAUUUAAUAAUGUAUAAAUCAAUAAAACAAGUUAUGUCAAAAAAACCAAGCGACAUAUGUAUGUAGA